GAAAAAAUCAUUGUGCCACGUGUCAUCAUCUUCCAGUUGGUGGUAUUAAUGGAGAAAGAUCAGAAAUAGCUGAAAUUGAAGCAGCAUCAACAAGUGAAGCUGCUCGGCUUAGAGCUGCUCUCCGGCGUGCUCCACCCGGCGCUGUUCGGGAACCUCACCAGUCUUUUGAACGGCUUACACAGACCUGUUUUGAUAAGAGCCGAGCAGCGAUUCUUCAAUUUCGGACCACGACCUAGCUAAAGGCUAAUGGUUCCAAAUGUCUGAAGUACCGAAGACUGGGCUAGCUCCUUGUUUUUUUGUCAUGUCAAAUAAAUCGUGUAUGAUUGCAACAAUAUUGGCAAAAUAUCGUUGUGCUUUAUAUUUUGAUGUACUGUGAACAAAACAAGUGCCCUAUGAGACCAUCAUGAUUUAUGCAUUUUCAAACUAAAUUUUACGACA